GGGGCUAUAGUUAAUAAUAACAUUUGAGUUGCAUUCAAAAAGUACUACCUUGUAGUUAGCCUCG
rnacentral:tRNA from 1 species